rnacentral:rRNA from 1 species
UACAGGGGGUGCAAACGUUGCUCGGAAUUAUUGGGCGUAAAGCGCGCGUAGGCGGCUACUUAAGUCGGAUGUGAAAGCCCUCGGCUUAACCGAGGAAGUGCAUUCGAAACUGACGGUCUUGAGUAUGGAAGAGGGUCGCGGAAUUCCCGGUGUAGAGGUGAAAUUCGUAGAUAUCGGGAGGAACACCAGUGGCGAAGGCGGCGACCUGGGCCAAUACUGACGCUGAGGUGCGAAAGCGUGGGGAGCAAACAGG